rnacentral:rRNA from 1 species
UACGGAGGGGGCUAGCGUUGUUCGGAAUUACUGGGCGUAAAGCGCACGUAGGCGGCUUUGUAAGUUAGAGGUGAAAGUCCGGGGCUCAACUCCGGAAUUGCCUUUAAGACUGCAUCGCUAGAAUUGUGGAGAGGUAAGUGGAAUUCCGAGUGUAGAGGUGAAAUUCGUAGAUAUUCGGAAGAACACCAGUGGCGAAGGCGACUUACUGGACACAUAUUGACGCUGAGGUGCGAAAGCGUGGGGAGCAAACAGG